AUUGAACGCUGGCGGCAGGCCUAACACAUGCAAGUCGAGCGAGCGGCGGACGGGUGAGUAAUGCCUGGGAAUUGCCCAGUCGAGGGGGAUAACAGUUGGAAACGACUGCUAAUACCUCAUACGACUUGAUUGCCCAGGUGGGCUUAGCUAGUUGGUGAGGUAAGUGCUCACCAAGGCGACGAUCCCUAGCGGGUCUGAGAGGAUGAUCAGCCACACUGGAACUGAGACACGGUCCAGACUCCUACGGGAGGCAGCAGUGGGGAAUAUUGCACAAUGGGGGAAACCCUGAUACAGCAAUGCCGCGUGUGUGAAGAAGGCCUUCGGGUUGUAAAGCACUUUCAGCGAGGAGGCGUUACUCGACGAAGAAGCACCGGCUAACUCCGUGCCAGCAGCCGCGGUAAUAC
rnacentral:rRNA from 1 species